AGAUCGAACUAUAGAGUUUGAUCCUGGCUCAGAUUGAACGCUGGCGGCAUGCCUUACACAUGCAAGUCGAACGGCAGCGCGGGAGCAAUCCUGGCGGCGAGUGGCGAACGGGUGAGUAAUACAUCGGAACGUGCCCAAUCGUGGGGGAUAACGCAGCGAAAGCUGUGCUAAUACCGCAUACGAUCUACG
rnacentral:rRNA from 1 species